UACGUAGGGGGCAAGCGUUGUCCGGAAUCAUUGGGCGUAAAGCGCGUGUAGGCGGUCCGGUGAGUCCGCUGUGAAAGUCGGGGGCUCAACCCUCGGAUGCCGGUGGAUACUGUCGGGCUUGAGUACGGAAGAGGCGAGUGGAAUUCCUGGUGUAGCGGUGGAAUGCGCAGAUAUCAGGAGGAACACCAAUAGCGAAGGCAGCUCGCUGGGACGGUACUGACGCUAAGGCGCGAAAGCGUGGGGAGCGAACAGG
rnacentral:rRNA from 1 species